AAAACUAUAAAAAGGUCGCUGGUUGCCUCGCUCGUUACAGUUAUCUGGUGUUCGUUGCAGCGAUUCGUCAUACAAAUUGUGUACGUGAAUCUAGGCAGCAGUAAAGUCGCAAUCAUGUGCAAGGCUGUUAUAGAUUGUAAUGAAAUAAUGAAGGAUUGCAAGAGUGUGGGAAGACGAUGAGCAAACGGCCUUCAAUUCACUGAAAUGGUGUGAGUCAUUACCGCUGCUUCAAUGAAAUCCAUGCUGAACGCCACCAGAAAGAGGCUUUGGUUCAGGAUUCACGCUCGUUUCCUGCUCCUCGAAACGUUAAUGGCAACGAUGAGGAGGAAUGGAAUACUUGAACAAGCAACAACGUCAACAGCCUGAAGUUGAAACCAAAUCUGAAUUUAAAUGUCAUAAAGUGGCUUAUAAAGAAGUUACGUCGAUCAUCUGUUCGACGAUGGUUUGUUAUUGAGUUACUGAGUGAGUCUUCACGUCUGUCCGUGUCUUUCCCAACCUCAACGCUUGGCAGCGAGUUCCGUAAAACAGCCGAUGGCCGACUCUACACAGAUCGCAGGAGCAGCGAGCAGCAGCAGCAACCACCACCGAGUCUCCCUUGCAUGACAUGAAAAUGCCAAUGCUAUAGGCAGCCGACAAAGAACAAUGGGGACAAAGGCGGCAUUGCGAGCGGCAGCAGCUCUAGCUCAUCAGCUUACGUGUGUUUGAAGCUCGUGCCAUUGUCGGUGCUGCCAUCACCGGCUACCACAACAUUUCUACAUAGAACGCUUCGCAGUCGCUGACCACCACCCACCCAUCCACACAGAUACACGGUAUUUGGUAUAUCAGCUGCGAACGAAAAAUAUUGCUUUUUGAACAGAUUUACAGCGAAACAAUACCAAGGAGUAGCAGCAAUCAUCAAGAAACUAAACACCCAAGUCAUCAAAACGUCUUCGAACCCUGCAACGCAAAGGAACUACUCAAACUCUACAUUUCAGCCAACAUCGUCAUCUUCGGAUCUUGAGGGACUUUAAUUGAAUUCUCGCAUGUAAGCCGUAUGGGAUUUUUCUUCUGAUUAACACUUGAAUUGCAGCCAUCAGUAGCCAAACGGUCUUAUUGACAUUCUUAGUGUAUGCUGCGCGCUCACUCGUCCUGUUUCAAUUGAGGAGCUUCCAUAAUCUCUUAGGAAUGUAAAAAUCGUUGGAUCUCUGCUCUUUAACCCAUGAAUUGACAUAAUAUGUUGACCCUAGCCUGUCGUACUCCAUACUCUUUACUUUCCUAACCAUUGGGCUAUUGUAAGACCGAUUUUAAUAUUUGUAGCGAUGCAUCACAGUCGAACUGUUCCUGUGAGUGUCUGGUGCCACCAAAGUUUCCUCUCCAUUCGCGCUCAAAAUUUUGGAUAUCUUUAACAGGAGAGCGGCUGCCAUCCAACUAAGAUAUUGUAUUUUUUAUACAAACUCAUACGUUACUCAGCUUGUAGUUGUAGUCUGGUAUCAAGCAUUACCUUUCGUUUACUUUUCCAGCAAUGUGAGGCAGUUGAGCGGUACCUGCGUCAGUGCGACAAUUUAAAUUGCUUUUUUGAAUGUGUCAAAAGCCUACAACAAGUCCCCGGCAGCAGCAGUCAUUGGGAUUAAUAACAAAGUGAUAUUGGUCUUUGAGCAAAACUCGAACAAAAUACUUCUUUUGUUUCAAAUUCUCUUUUAGCACAAAUGAAUGUAGCUUUUUUGAGACAGAGCCUACUGCUUAACUAUCAACUAAUGAUAGCUGGGAAAACGUAUCACCUUCGAAAACGACGAAAUGACACUUCUGAGAUUGGUAUGGGCACACAUGUUUUCGGAUAUUUUGUUCUUGUAUAUAUGUAUAGACAUUAUGUGUCUAUACCGAAUCAUUCUGAAAUCGAAGCAUUCGUCGUAUGGACGGACAGGAGUCAUUUCGCCGUCACGUAUCCGAUGUGGUGGAAGAUCCAGACACGGGACAGUUACAAAAGCUAAGACAUUGCAAUAGAAAUCAUUUCUUUCAUAUUUUGUAGAAAUGUGCCGCAGUUGAACAGUGCCUGCGCAUAUUGGUGGACUGUCCAAAAAUGACAAGCUGCAAGGAAAUUUCGCUCAAGUCUUCGAUGGGUGGUCCGCCCAGCACAUGUAAAUUAUAUUAAGUGUGUGGAACAAAAUCUUUCUUUAUUUUUGUAGAGUUGUGGUUGCAGUAGGCUUCAGGCAGAGCCAUAUGUAUACUGUCUUUUGUCACAGUAGCGCUUCGUUGGGACCCGGAAAAUAUGCGUUCUUACUAAAGGUUUCCUUUCUCACUGAAAAUCGGUUCUUAUUAAUGUAUUCAUUACAGUGCUUCUUACAAUCUAAAAUAUCCAGUCGGCAAAAUGAGCUUGGGAUGAUCCGACCACACAGCUAAACUUACACGUGCACUUUCACCUGUUUUUAAUACCUACCCGUGUACAUGAAGCAAAAUUUCUUGAGGCAAUGGGAAUCAAAUGCCAACUUGAAAGCAAUAACACCAACACUCAAUCGACCGAAAUCCACAUCUAUACAACACGUCGACUUUGCAUUGAAUUGAAGAAUCUUCCUAUCAACUAAAACAGCAAGGUCAGGUCUGUUUUACGGCUUGGGAGAAGGUGUGGCAAGGAUGGAGUGUUUUAUAGAAACAGCCGUUUGUCUCUUUGUUUGUCUGGUUGCCUGCCUUGACACAUAGGACCCUUUACAGAGUGAGAAAUUUGAGCGGUUUUAAAUUACCUUUGCUCUUCUUGCAGCGAUGUUCCACAGUUGAAUCUGCCUGUGGGCAUCGACUAGGUAGGAACGAACGAAAGGCAUCUUCUUUGGAGUGGACAAGCUAACGAGCAACCAAUCAGUAACCAGUUGCUCUACCCACCGCUCUUAACAAGUCUUGAGUCUGCGGCUAUUGCUCUGUUGCUGCAAAUCGUUAAAGGGAAUCAAGAACGAUGCAUCAAGUCCAUUUAGGCUUCUACGAAUCAAGCAUGCUACCGCCACAUCGACAACUGCCUGCUAAUGAUAAUGCUAUGCACCAAACGAGCAGAAUACAUCGAGAGAACAUCGAGUAUAGCAACAAAACGCAAGCAACCUAACGAGACCGUCGGGCGCCUAUUUUAAAAUUAGAUGUAAACUUAACGUUUCUACAUUACAGGCAAGUUGUCUGCCCGAAAUGGGUCGCUUGUGUCUUUUACAAUCAACGCUCGGACUAGACUAGGCCAAGUUCAAGAUAGCCGACUGCCGCCUGUCGCUGUCCAAAGCAUGGGCGUCAAGAGCAACCUGGAGACAGUCCUGCGAGCGAUGUGCUAGCCUAAGCACGUAAUGCAAUUGGCACCGCACAGAGAUGUGCGUUCGGUCCACGCUAAAGGGAAACAAAUGCGUUUGGACCGAGAGCCGCUACACCGCACCAUCACCAGCAUUCGCUGAAGAAGUGAGCUGAUGUGUUGUCGUUGUUACAGGGCUGCUGCCUGCAAGUACGCUACGGGCAUCCUAGCGUCGUCGUCGCUAAUUAAUCGUCACUUUCAGCGUUUGUUUGAAUAACAUCCGGACAGAUCAGCAGCUAACGACGUGUAGCCAGUCGUUUAUCGCAAACGGGAACCAAUUGCGAUUAGUGUUCAAGCAUCCGAAACAGAAGAAAUGCAGCAGCCACAGUUCAAGACUGUCAAAAUCGGUCAGCAAAAACAGCCUAUAUGAACUGUACGCAGACUUACAGAUCACAGGAGAGAUGAAACCACUUUGCAACGGGCUGUCGCUUCAUUUGUCCUUUCCUCCCCUAGGUAGUCCAGAAUAAGAGGUACCCAUAUUCAUCGCAAAAGGGAAUCAAAUGCGAUUAGUGUUCGAAGACCGAGCUAGCCAGUAAUUGCAAUGCUACGCUCUACCAGUUGAGUCCUUAACUCCUGGCUCGACGAUCCAACAUACCGCAAAAGGGAAACAAAUGCGAGAUGGUAUCACAGUCGAACUCCCCGUUGAGCUCCUGGUAAAACUCUUAAUUUCUUCAGCACAGCAAUCGUAAAGGGAAUCCAAUGCGAUGUACAGCGACAGCGGCAGGCAGGGUCCCAAAGCCCUAAAGUCAGAAAUAUUGUUCCACCAGGUCCAGAUCCAGGGCUGUGGCCUGGCCCACUUACAUAUAUUGACGCGCCUUCCUGCAAACUCGUCACUUUGGUCUCAAAGGGAAUCCAAGAGACACGCGCCCGCGGUACAGGCAACUUAAACACGCUCUUCCUUUGUUUUAGUUUCCUUCAAAGUUAUUAUUACAGCUACUCGUGAUACUCAUUGCAUUUGUAAUGAAAUUGUUAGCUAUCAUAUUAUGUUGUCUUUAUAUACUCUGCGUAGAUAAUGUUAAUGUUAUGUUGCUUUAAAAUUUUAUUUAAAUGUAAGAUAUGUUAUAUUGUGACAUGUAAAUUUAAAAGCCAAAGCAGACUUACCCUGAAGAGUGCAUCCGGACGUCCUUCCCAAGGGCUUCGGGAGCUGUCCAUGUUACACCUAGACGUACCAGUUGUGGCCGCAGAGAUCAUUUCCACGACUUUUAGAGCGAGAUCCAUGACAGUGAGGAGUGGGAUCAGCGUACAGAGGACAUACUUUUUCGAUAUUUUGAUACAUUCGACCUUCUACUAACUUCGAGGCAUAUUCAUUGGGCUCUUUGAAUCAUCUAAUCGCAUCCUAUGAGCACUCAAAAGAAGCCGUACACGCUAUUGAUAAUUUUCGCUACGAGAACCGGUUGAGAUAUUUCUGGGAGCCUCCUGCUGUUCAAUUCGACAUCGCCAAUAGCUUCUGCUAUCGCUUUCUGGAGCAGCAUAGGAACUGGUCUGAGAUCUCAGAUGCUGGCCAAAAAUCAUUAUUCUGACCACUUCCAUCGACCUGCACAAGUUAUUUCCUUCUUCGUACCACUGGCUUGUUGACACUCUGCUUUUAAACUGAUGUCAAGCUUAAACCGUUUUUCAACAUUUGCCUUUUCUUCGCACUGCUGCAGUUGGACACGGUGAUCGUCAUUGCCAUUACCGUUGGCUGUAGAAUUAAAUUAUCGUUUCGCUACUAGUAGCUUAACUAAUGUCUUUGACGCUCAACUUUGCUUGUGAGGAGAUUAGGAGAUUUUUCGUGGAUUGCAAGUUGAAUUAAUUUUGGAUAUUGACUGCAGCGUGGGAUUCAAUAUGAUUGUGACAUUUCCGACGGCGGCGAUGGAUGCAAGCUUCAGGACUGCGGCGUGGGAUAACAGUCAAGCUACGUGGGACUAAUAGGGCAUUUAGGCAAGGUCGUUAGGGAACUGUUUUUUCGAUCGUGAAAA